rnacentral:rRNA from 1 species
GAUGAACGCUGGCGGCGUGCCUAAUACAUGCAAGUCGAGCGAAUGGAUUAAGAGCUUGCUCUUAUGAAGUUAGCGGCGGACGGGUGAGUAACACGUGGGUAACCUGCCCAUAAGACUGGGAUAACUCCGGGAAACCGGGGCAAAUACCGGAUAACAUUUUGAACCGCAUGGUGCGAAAUUGAAAGGCGGCGUCGGCUGUCACUUAUGGAUGGACCGGCGUCGCAUUAGCUAGUUGGUGAGGUAACGGCUCACCAAGGCAACGAUGCGUAGCCGACCUGAGAGGGUGAUCGGCCACACUGGGACUGAGACACGGCCCAGACUCCUACGGGAGGCAGCAGUAGGGAAUCUUCCGCAAUGGACGAAAGUCUGACGGAGCAACGCCGCGUGAGUGAUGAAGGCUUUCGGGUCGUAAAACUCUGUUGUUAGGGAAGAACAAGUGCUAGUUGAAUAAGCUGACACCUUGACGGUACCUAACCAGAAAGCCACGGCUAACUACGUGCCAGCAGCCGCAGUAA